rnacentral:rRNA from 1 species
GUACAUCCAGCGAACUUUCCAGAGAUGGAUUGGUGCCUUCGGGAACGCUGAGACAGGUGCUGCAUGGCUGUCGUCAGCUCGUGUUGUGAAAUGCUGGGUUAAGUCCCGNAACGAGCGCAACCCUUAUCCUUUGUUGCCAGCGAUUCGGUCGGGAACUCAAAGGAGACUGCCGGUGAUAAACCGGAGGAAGGUGGGGAUGACGUCAAGUCAUCAUGGCCCUUACGAGUAGGGCUACACACGUGCUACAAUGGCGCAUACAAAGAGAAGCGACCUCGCGAGAGCAAGCGGACCUCAUAAAGUGCGUCGUAGUCCGGAUCGGAGUCUGCAACUCGACUCCGUGAAGUCGGAAUCGCUAGUAAUCGUGGAUCAGAAUGCCACGGUGAAUACGUUCCCGGGCCUUGUACACACCGCCCGUCACACCAUGGGAGUGGGUUGCAAAAGAAGUAGGUAGCUUAACCUUCGGGAGGGCGCUUACCACUUUGUGAUUCAUGACUGGGGUGAAGUCGUAACAAGGUAAGCGUAGCGAG